UUUUUUAUAUAUAAGGAAAAAAAAAAUAAAAGUUGAAAACCUUUCCUAUUUGGUCAAAUCCUUCCCGCGUAAAUCACCCUCUUUUCCCCGCUACCCAUGGUGGCCUCGCCGUUGACGGCGAUGAACGGCGAGAGAGCCGUGGUUUUCUUCUUCGUCUUCCGUGUUCUCUCUUCUCUCCCCCUUUCUCUCCUCCCUCAUGCCCUUUCCCUCUCUCUCCUCUCCGUUUUUUCUCUCUUCGUCGAGAUCCGCGCCGAUGGUUCUCUCUCCCUCUUCAAAACCAGGCCAGGUGCUUCAUCAGGAAUUAUGUUAGGUGCAGUUACGUUGCCUACUGUGAUGCUGUCGAAGUUGAUUCAGCUUUCAAGAGCUUUCUCUUUGCAACAAAUCGAGAUUGGAGAGCUUGAACAUAUGACGAUGCAAUUUUGGGCUGCAUCGGCUUGUUGCUGCGGUGUGCUAAUAUUUCUCUCCAUUCUUAUGUGGUGCGCUGCCUACAAUAAGAAUCCACAUUUCUCCUGUAGUGUUUGGGAUGCAAAGUUUAGCUUAAGCUGUGUCAUUUUAUUUUCGGUGGUUUGCUGUAUAUCGCUUGCUACAAUAUCUCAUACUGGUUUUAACACAGCAUUAAAGUUACUGUGGUUGCUAUGUCAUGGAUUUGCUGCAGUGAAAUUAAUUCAACAUCUUCUCAAUACGUUCCCUUGUUGUGCUUCAAUUGGAGAAGCACUUUUGUUGACUUCAGGCCUUGUACUCUAUUUUGGUGACAUGUUGGCAUGUACCAUUUCAAAGGUUUGUAGAUUGUUGGUUUCUCCAGAGUUGGUGUCUAUACGUUAUGGAAUUAAAAGAAGUGAGAUAGGUAUUAUCAUCCAGGGUGUGCUGCUUGGACUUCUUAUUUUUUCAGCAGUCUUUAAAUUUGUCAUCCACUUAUGGGAAUACUUCUCGCGUGCUGACAACUCCGAGUCAAGGAAAAACAAAGAAAUCAGGAGAUCUCUUAUAUUCUUUGCUUCACUUGGAUUUACCAUGAUUGUGGUUUCCCCAUCUUGGAUGAUGAUUGUCCUAGAUUUUGAUGUACAUCCUAUACUAUGGAUAUUCCAGUUUGUUUUAUCGGAACCAUUAAAACGACUGUCACUAUGUAUCUAUUGGUUGGGUUUGAUAUAUGCAUCUGUCUUGAGGUUCUACAACAUUUCUAAGAAUAGUAAGAUCGAGAGGAUUCUUCUUCGGAAAUAUUACCAUCUGCUGGCUGUUUCAAUGUUUCUGCCUGCUCUUAUUUACCAGCCAAAAUUUCUUGAUCUAGCAUUUGGUGCAGCUUUGGCAAUUUUUUUGGUAUUAGAAAUUAUUCGAGUUUGGAGAAUUUGGCCUUUAGGACAACUAGUGCAUCAAUUCAUGAGUGCCUUUACAGAUCAUCGUGACUCAGAUAUCCUUAUUGUAAGCCAUUUUUCACUUUUAUUGGGAUGUGCGCUUCCUAUCUGGAUGUCCUCUGGGUUCAAUGAUCGGCCUCUUAUCCCUUUUGCUGGAAUUUUAAGCCUUGGCAUUGGAGAUACGAUGGCAUCUAUGGUUGGCCACAAGUAUGGUGUCCUUAGGUGGAGCAAAACUGGCAAGAAAACCAUUGAAGGCACUGCAGCUGGUAUAGUAUCUGUCCUUGCUGCUUGCUCGAUUCUGCUUCCACUUCUGGCAUCCACCAGAUACAUUGCAACUCAGCAUUGGUUCCCUCUUCUCAUUGCCGUGACCACAAGUGGUUUAUUGGAGGCUUACACAGCACAACUCGAUAAUGCUUUUAUACCACUCGUCUUCUACAGCCUUCUCUGUUUGUAAAUGCAUACGUUAACCUUUUCCGAAAAAGAUAUAGUUUCUACACUGAUAUUUUCAAACAAAAUCCUUCACAAAUGUUUCCAUUCAUGGAGCCGAAAGAGCCUGUAAUGUACCAUAACGUUUGUUUGGUUGUACUUGGUAGAAUUAGUUUUACACCUUGAUAGGUGAGGUGAACCACAGAACAUGAAGGAAUUGGCUAGUUGAGAGAUAGUGAUUGUUUAGUGUAGUUGAUUACAUGAUGGUUAACCUGCAGAAGCCCAACCGUUAAAGCAUAGGCUUUUCAUCUUUGGUAGUUCACUCACUCCCAACCUAAUGGCGUUUGGGCUUUUCUUAGAUCCAGGGAGGGGGGCCCUGAGCUUCCAUUGUCUUCUGGCUAGCUCUUUUUGGCUCAAUGGGUCUUGGCAGCAUAUCCAUAAUGGUAAUUUCUAAGAAACCCCCAAAUGCUCACUCAUAUGCGUGUCUGUGCUUCAUAUAGAAUUUUAUUUUCAAAUUCGUUAAAUGUAUGUUGCCAUUGCCGACAUAUUAAUAUAUGGAAAGAAUAUUGAUAGUACUUAAUUUUUAA